UGGAUUCGGUGAGGCUUCAUU
rnacentral:misc_RNA from 1 species